NNNNCUCUCUUGCUCCUGAAGAUGUAAGCAAUAAAGCUUUUGCCGCAGAAGAUUCCGGUUUGUUGCGUUCUUCCUGGCCGGUCGCGAGAACGUGUGCAAUAUAAUUAGGCACCUUAAAACGCUGUUUAAUCAGAAGAGUUACUUUCAAAGAACAAAACUGAUGGCCUUUGAGGGAGAAGACGUCUUUUGCAGCCAGAGAAUUAAUUGGCCUACUUCCAAGAUUAUUUGCUGCUGACAUACUGGCUGAUGUGUUCUACUAUUGAUGGACCAAGAUGUUCUAUACAUUAAAUUCUACAGUGGCACGUUAUGCUACCAACCGAAGGAAAUGGGUGUGAAAUGAACGUUGAAUUCACAGGCAGAGUAACAUGUUUAUAU
ensembl:lincRNA Gm29066 predicted gene 29066